ACAAAAGUAAUGAUGGAGAGAGUAAUUAUGUGAAUUCUUCAGAGAGCUAAUGGGUGCUGUGAAUUAGCGAUGAAACAUAAUGAAACUAGGUCCUAAACUGCAGGUUGAACUUAAGUAGGCUGAGCCGUAAAACCUACGUUACAGGUAAAAGUGGAUUUAUUCUAUGUAAUUCAUCUAAAUAAAUUAUUUUAGAAUUAUGGAUUAUAUAGAUAUUUCAAUAAGGGUGGUACCGCGUAAUAAUCGUCUCUUUC
rnacentral:ncRNA from 1 species